GAGUUUGAUCGUGGCUCAGAUUGAACGCUGGCGGCAUGCCUUACACAUGCAAGUCGAACGGCAGCAUGAUCUAGCUUGCUAGAUUGAUGGCGAGUGGCGAACGGGUGAGUAAUACAUCGGAACGUGCCCUGUAGUGGGGAUAACUAGUCGAAAGAUUAGCUAAUACCGCAUACGACCUGAGGGUGAAAGUGGGGGACCGCAAGGCCUCAUGCUAUAGGAGCGGCCGAUGUCUGAUUAGCUAGUUGGUGGGGUAAAGGCCCACCAAGGCGACGAUCAGUAGCUGGUCUGAGAGGACGAUCAGCCACACUGGGACUGAGACACGGCCCAGACUCCUACGGGAGGCAGCAGUGGGGAAUUUGGACAAUGGGCGAAAGCCUGAUCCAGCAAUGCCGCGUGUGUGAAGAAGGCCUCGG
rnacentral:rRNA from 1 species